GGUUAAGUGACUAAGCGUACAUGGUGGAUGCCUUGGCAGUCAGAGGCGAUGAAGGACGUACUAACCUGCGAUAAGCUGUGAGAAGUCGGUAAGAGACGCUAUUACUCACAGAUUUCCGAAUGGGGAAACCCACCCGAGAUAACUCGGGUAUCUGUUACUGAAUACAUAGGUAACAGAGGCGAACCGGGAGAACUGAAACAUCUAAGUACCCCGAGGAAAAGAAAUCAACCGAGAUUCCCUCAGUAGCGGCGAGCGAACGGGGAUUAGCCCUUAAGCAUCUUGGAAGUUAGUGGAACGGUCCUGGAAAGGCCGGCGAUACAGGGUGAUAGCCCCGUACACGAAAACAACCUUGAUGUGAAAUCGAGUAGGGCGGGACACGUGACAUCCUGUCUGAAUAUGGGGGGACCAUCCUCCAAGGCUAAAUACUCCUGACUGACCGAUAGUGAACCAGUACCGUGAGGGAAAGGCGAAAAGAACCCCUGUGAGGGGAGUGAAAUAGAACCUGAAACCGUGUACGUACAAGCAGUGGGAGCCCUUCGGGGUGACUGCGUACCUUUUGUAUAAUGGGUCAGCGACUUACAUUUUGUAGCGAGGUUAACCGUAUAGGGGAGCCGUAGGGAAACCGAGUCUUAACUGGGCGUCUAGUUGCAAGGUGUAGACCCGAAACCGGGUGAUCUAGCCAUGGGCAGGUUGAAGGUUGAGUAACAUCAACUGGAGGACCGAACCCACUAACGUUGCAAAGUUAGGGGAUGACCUGUGGCUGGGGGUGAAAGGCCAAUCAAACUCGGAGAUAGCUGGUUCUCCCCGAAAGCUAUUUAGGUAGCGCCUCGGACGAAUACUACUGGGGGUAGAGCACUGUUUGGGCUAGGGGGUCAUCCCGACUUACCAACCCCAUGCAAACUCCGAAUACCAGUAAGUAAUAUCCGGGAGACACACGGCGGGUGCUAACGUCCGUCGUGAAGAGGGAAACAACCCAGACCGCCGGCUAAGGUCCCAAAGUUCUGGUUAAGUGGGAAACGAUGUGGGAAGGCUCAGACAGCUAGGAUGUUGGCUUAGAAGCAGCCAUCAUUUAAAGAAAGCGUAAUAGCUCACUAGUCGAGUCGGCCUGCGCGGAAGAUGUAACGGGGCUCAAACCAGGCACCGAAGCCGCGGAUUCACACUUAUGUGUGAGUGGUAGGGGAGCGUUCUGUAAGUCUGCGAAGGUGUAUCGAGAGGUAUGCUGGAGAUAUCAGAAGUGCGAAUGCUGACGUAAGUAACGAUAAAGGGGGUGAAAAGCCUCCUCGCCGGAAGACCAAGGGUUCCUGUCCAACGUUAAUCGGGGCAGGGUGAGUCGACCCCUAAGGCGAGGCCGAAAGGCGUAGUCGAUGGGAAGCAGGUUAAUAUUCCUGCACGACUUGUAAUUGCGAUGGGGGGACGGAGAAGGCUAGGUGGGCCAGGCGACGGUUGUCCUGGUGAAAGUGCGUAGGUGGUGUUUCUAGGCAAAUCCGGAGACACAACACUGAGACACGAGACGAACACACUACGGUGUGGAAGCCAUUGAUGCCCUGCUUCCAGGAAAAGCCUCUAAGCUUCAGAUUACAAGUCAUCGUACCCCAAACCGACACAGGUGGUCGGGUAGAGAAUACCAAGGCGCUUGAGAGAACUCGGGUGAAGGAACUAGGCAAAAUAGAACCGUAACUUCGGGAGAAGGUUCGCUCUUGAUGGUGAAGUCCCUUGCGGAUGGAGCUGUCGGGAGUCGCAGUGACCAGAUGGCUGGGACUGUUUAUCAAAAACACAGCACUCUGCAAACACGAAAGUGGACGUAUAGGGUGUGACACCUGCCCGGUGCCGGAAGGUUAAUUGAUGGGGUUAGCGCAAGCGAAGCUCUUGAUCGAAGCCCCGGUAAACGGCGGCCGUAACUAUAACGGUCCUAAGGUAGCGAAAUUCCUUGUCGGGUAAGUUCCGACCUGCACGAAUGGUGUAACCAUGGCCAUGCUGUCUCCACCCGAGACUCAGUGAAAUCGAAUUCGCCGUGAAGAUGCGGUGUACCCGCGGCUAGACGGAAAGACCCCGUGAACCUUUACUACAGCUUGGCACUGAACAUUGAACCUACAUGUGUAGGAUAGGUGGGAGGCUUUGAAGGCGUGACGCCAGUUGCGCUGGAGCCGUCCUUGAAAUACCACCCUUGUAUGUUUGAUGUUCUAACGCAGGGCCCUGAAUCGGGCUCGCGGACAGUGCCUGGUGGGUAGUUUGACUGGGGCGGUCUCCUCCCAAAGAGUAACGGAGGAGCACGAAGGUUGGCUAAUCCUGGUCGGACAUCAGGAGGUUAGUGCAAUGGCAUAAGCCAGCUUAACUGCGAGACGGACAGGUCGAGCAGGUACGAAAGUAGGUCAUAGUGAUCCGGUGGUUCUGAAUGGAAGGGCCAUCGCUCAACGGAUAAAAGGUACUCCGGGGAUAACAGGCUGAUACCGCCCAAGAGUUCAUAUCGACGGCGGUGUUUGGCACCUCGAUGUCGGCUCAUCACAUCCUGGGGCUGAAGUCGGUCCCAAGGGUAUGGCUGUUCGCCAUUUAAAGUGGUACGCGAGCUGGGUUCAGAACGUCGUGAGACAGUUCGGUCCCUAUCUGCCGUGGGCGUUGGAUGAUUGAAGGGAGUUGCUCCUAGUACGAGAGGACCGGAGUGAACGAACCUCUGGUGUUCGGGUUGUCACGCCAGUGGCACUGCCCGGUAGCUAAGUUCGGAAUCGAUAACCGCUGAAAGCAUCUAAGCGGGAAGCGAGCCCUGAGAUGAGUCAUCCCUGACCCCUUGAGGGUCCUAAAGGGCCGUUGGAGACCACAACGUUGAUAGGUGGGGUGUGUAAGCGC
rnacentral:rRNA from 1 species